GUCCCAGCCUUUAAAUCAAUUUUUGCACAACUUACACAUGCAAUGUCUCCGGCACACCCGUAAAAAAUGCCCUUCACCCCUGCCCAGGAAAAAGGAGCUGAUAUCAGGAACGCAUCUGCCCAAAACAUCUAGCCACGCCACACCCUCAAGGGUACUCAGCAGUGAUCAACAUUAAAUUAAUAAACGCCAGUUUAAUUUAGCCAGUGAUAACAGGGCCGGCCAAUCUGUGUGCCAGCCGCCGCGGUUACACCAAUGAGGCCCAAAUUGACCCUACUACGGCGUAAAGCGUGAUUAAAGAAACACCUCACUGCGGCUAAACUAAAACUGAGCUGUUAAACGCCUGUUUCAAGAAACUCCUAUUAAAAAAUGCCCCAAUCUAUCAACUUGAACUCACGACAACUAGAAAACAAACUGAGAUUAGGUACCUCACUAUGUCUAGUCGUAAACUUUAACCUACCCCCCUCCCACGCCAGAGAACUACGAGCUAAGCUUAAAACUCAAAGGACCUGACGGUACCCUAUGCCCCCUAGAGGAGCCUGUCUUAUAAUCGAUAUUCCCCGCUCAACCUCACCAUUUUUGGCUGUUUUUCAGCUUGUAUACUUCCGAUGAUAGCUUACCGCAUGAGUGAAACUUAGUGAGCAUAAUGAUUACACCAUUACACCAAUACACCAGGUCAAAGUGCAGCAAACAAAAUGGAAUAUAGAUGGGCUACACUCUCUAAUAUAGAAGACACGAAAAGAUUAUUUGAAAUUAUGAUCGGAAGGUGGAUUUAGAAGUAAAUAGAAGUUAGAGUAUUCUAUUUAAUUUAGGCUCUGGGGUGUGUACACACCGCCCGUCACCCUCUUCGAUAUACCCCUAAGUUCAUAACAUCUAACCCCCUCACAGAAGAGGUAAGUCGUAACAUGGUAAGUAUACCGGAAGGUGUGCUUGGAAC
rnacentral:ncRNA from 1 species